rnacentral:rRNA from 1 species
UACAGAGGGGGCAAGCGUUGUUCGGAAUUACUGGGCGUAAAGGGCUCGUAGGCGGCCAACUAAGUCGGAUGUGAAAUCCCCAGGCUUAACCUGGGAACUGCAUUCGAGACUGCAUUGCUAGAGUAUGGGAGAGGGAAGUGGAAUUUCCGGUGUAGCGGUGAAAUGCGUAGAUAUCUGGAGGAACACCGGUGGCGAAGGCGGCAUCCUGGACCGGUAUUGACGCUGAGGCGCGAAAGCCAGGGGAGCAAACGGG